GACGAACGCUGGCGGCGUGCUUAACACAUGCAAGUCGAACGGAAAGGCCCUGCUUUUGUGGGGUGCUCGAGUGGCGAACGGGUGAGUAACACGUGAGUAACCUGCCCUUGACUUUGGGAUAACUUCAGGAAACUGGGGCUAAUACCGGAUAGGAGCUCCUGCUGCAUGGUGGGGGUUGGAAAGUUUCGGCGGUUGGGGAUGGACUCGCGGCUUAUCAGCUUGUUGGUGGGGUAGUGGCUUACCAAGGCUUUGACGGGUAGCCGGCCUGAGAGGGUGACCAGCCACAUUGGGACUGAGAUACGGCCCAGACUCCUACGGGAGGCAGCAGUGGGGAAUAUUGCACAAUGGGCGGAAGCCUGAUGCAGCAACGCCGCGUGCGGGAUGACGGCCUUCGGGUUGUAAACCGCUUUCGCCUGUGACGAAGCGUGAGUGACGGGAAUGGGUAAAGAAGCACCGGCUAACUACGU
rnacentral:rRNA from 1 species